rnacentral:rRNA from 1 species
UACGGAGGGUGCGAGCGUUGUCCGGAAUCAUUGGGCGUAAAGGGCGCGUAGGUGGCGUGGUAAGUCUGUGGUGAAAGCGCGGGGCUCAACCCCGCGUCGGCCGUGGAUACUGCUAUGCUAGAGCACUGUAGAGGCAGGUGGAAUUCCGGGUGUAGCGGUGGAAUGCGUAGAGAUCCGGAAGAACACCGGUGGCGAAGGCGGCCUGCUGGGCAGUUGCUGACGCUGAGGCGCGACAGCGUGGGGAGCAAACAGG